GGCCACCUUUGGGAAGCAGGCUUGAAGCAAGGUCAUCUGGGAAGACUGAAGGCCUAAGGUUUGGCCUCCAAGCUGCCAUGUGUACAGCAGGAAGGUGGAGUCCAAGGAGUGGUGGCGUGAGGGCGAAUCAGGACGAUUCCUUCCUGUGGGUGUAGUUCCUGACAAUGGCAAGGAAAGGAGUGAAGUAUUAUUUGGAGAGGACUCAGAACAAAUUGGAAUUGGCAAAAAAUGGAGCGAGAGUCUGUGGAAUGAUAAUGUCCAAGGUUCUCAUGAUCACCAGAAGCUACGGAGAGAGCAGACGGGGAAAAGAGAGCAAGAGAGAAACAAAACGAAAUAUUGUAUCAAAUCAGAGUGCUUUAAAAAAAAUACUUGCAGCCUAGUGAAUUUUCAGGUCUCAAUAACAAAAAGCUGGUUUCAUAAAGUUUUUUGUUUUGUUUUAUAAGUCAAACAUAGCCUCAGUUGCCAGCAGGUGUGGGGAGUGCUGGGUGUCAGCCAGGAGCUCUUUCGGAAAGCUGGCAGCCUUGCAGUAUUGCCCCCCUGGGGCUCAGCUUCUCCCCUCUCAGCCUCAGUUUUUCCGGGAGUAAACACCCAUGGGUUGAUUACUUUUCCCAGUCCCUGGAGUGUAAAAGUGUCAGAUCACCACCAGGCUGUAAUAAAGCUUUCUUCUUGGUUUCUGGUUGAUGAAAUAUUUUUCAGCUUUUGCACAGAUUAAUUUGCUGCAAUAGGACUUGAUUACAAUUCAAUAGCUUUUACCAUACAACCUCUGUCUUGAACCAGUUCUUCUGAAA